UCUUAAUGAAUCAGUUUUCGCCGCUCGAUGCCAUGGCGUUCAACCGGUGGCUUUUAUAAUUCUCUCUGAAGGACGGAUCUUCAGGUCUAGUCGAGCGUCGUGGGAGAGUUACAGGGCCGUGAUGUCAUGAAAGAUUCUGAUGCCAGACCACCG
rnacentral:lncRNA from 1 species